AAUAAUACUGCAUUGGAACGGUAUGAAUCCGAAGUCUCUCGAAGGACAAUAAAGACUCUACAUACCCUACUUAACAUCCUUGACUGCGUACAGAGCGGUAUACAUGUAUCUUCAUGUACCUGCGCUUGGAUAUUCCGGUCAACCCAACCUGUUGGGAGGAUGAGAGAUUUAGCGAAGAUGGGGAUA
rnacentral:ribozyme from 1 species